ACCUCCUGAAGCUCAUUUCUCUUAUUUAAGCGACAACCCAGAAAGCAUACAUUUGAACGAGAGAGACGUUUCCCCUCUACGCGUAAACUGAUUACUUUUUACUGUUGGUGGAACGACUGGUCAGAAAUUAUUCAAAACAAAUGGGGGCAUCUUGGUUCGUGGAGUUGUGCGUAUUAAUAUUAUUUCUCCAGGCUAUCAAACCAGGGUUGUCCGAGGAGUCAAAAUGUGCUCCAGGUUUCAAUUCAGAAAUGUACAUUUUCAAAGUGGAAAGAAAUCACUUACAAAGUGGCCGGAGUCUUGGAAAAGUGGUUUUUGAUGACUGCACCAGCCUUACCAGCUUUCUCUUUCACUCCGAGGAUUCACACUUCAAAGUAGAUGGCGACGGGACGCUGAAACUGGAGAGGGGGCUGACUCUGCAUAAUGGACAUAAGGAGUUCUAUGUCUCUACCCAGUCCAAGCGCAAGAAGAUCACGGUUCCAGUCAGAGUGCUGCAUGAGGCCAGACAUGGCCACCACCACAAUCACCAUGAGAUGACCACCCAGCCCAAGCCAGGAGCAAGUCUGUCUCUACCUGUUCUGAACUUCCCCAAGUCUUCAGGAGGUCUGAAAAGAAGGAAGAGGGACUGGGUCAUUCCUCCCAUCAACUUCCCAGAGAAUGACCGAGGCCCCUUCCCCAAGAUUAUGGUGCAGAUCAGGUCCAACAAUGAUAAAGAGGUGAAGAUCCAGUACAGCAUCACUGGCACUGGGGCAGACCUACCUCCUGUGGGAAUCUUCACUGUGGACAAAAACUCUGGGAAUCUCUAUGUGACCGAGCCCUUGGACAGGGAGAAAAAAGACAAAUACAUUCUCCUAGCCCAUGCUGUUGCAGUGGGUGCAGGUAUAGCUGAGGAUCCCAUGGAGAUCAUUGUGAAAGUCAUCGAUAUGAAUGACAACAAACCUGUAUUUACCCAAGAUCCAUUUAUGGGAACAGUUCCUGAAGCAUCAAAACCAGGUGACGAGGUCAUGCAGGUAACGGCCCCUGAUGCUGAUGAGGAGGGCUCUGCCAAUUCUGAUGUCAGAUACACCAUUCUCAGUCAGGAGCCUCCACUACCAAGCCCCAACAUGUUUGUCAUCAACUCUGUGACUGGAGGGAUUCGGGUUAAUGCACCUGGGUUGGACAGAGAGAAAAUUCCCAAAUAUACUUUGGCAAUCCAAGCUGCCGAUAUGGAGGGAAAUGGCCUUACCAGCUUUGGCAAAGCCAUCAUUACAGUAACGGACAGCAAUGACAACGCGCCACAGUUUGUGACGCCUUCGUACACCGUGUCAGUCCCAGAGAAUAAAGUGGAUGCCUUGGUGGUGAAAAUGCCAGUGACUGAUGGAGAUGAGCCUCACUCCUCUGCCUGGGCCACCACCUACAAGAUAGUUGACGGGGACCCUCAAGGCUUUUUCAAAGUGUGCACAGGCCCUAGCAAGCUGGAGGGCAUCAUUAAGACAGUAAAACCUGGAGCAAGUCUGUCUCUACCUGUUCUGAACUUCCCCAAGUCUUCAGGAGGUCUGAAAAGAAGGAAGAGGGACUGGGUCAUUCCUCCCAUCAACUUCCCAGAGAAUGACCGAGGCCCCUUCCCCAAGAUUAUGGUGCAGAUCAGGUCCAACAAUGAUAAAGAGGUGAAGAUCCAGUACAGCAUCACUGGCACUGGGGCAGACCUACCUCCUGUGGGAAUCUUCACUGUGGACAAAAACUCUGGGAAUCUCUAUGUGACCGAGCCCUUGGACAGGGAGAAAAAAGACAAAUACAUUCUCCUAGCCCAUGCUGUUGCAGUGGGUGCAGGUAUAGCUGAGGAGCCCAUGGAGAUCAUUGUGAAAGUCAUCGAUAUGAAUGACAACAAACCUGUAUUUACCCAAGAUCCAUUUAUGGGAACAGUUCCUGAAGCAUCAAAACCAGGUGACGAGGUCAUGCGGGUAACUGCCCUUGAUGCUGAUGAGGAGGGCUCUGUCAAUUCUGAUGUCAGAUACACCAUUCUCAGUCAGGAGCCUCCACUACCAAGCCCCAACAUGUUUGUCAUCAACCCUGUGACUGGAGGGAUUCGGGUUAAUGCACCUGGGUUGGACAGAGAGAAAAUUCCCAAAUAUACUUUGGCAAUCCAAGCUGUCGAUAUGGAGGGAAAUGGCCUUACCAGCUUUGGCAAAGCCAUCAUUACAGUAACGGACAGCAAUGACAAUGGAGAUGAGCCUCACUCCUCUACCUGUUCCACCACCUACAAGAUAGUUGACGGGGACCCUCAAGGCAUUUUCAGUGUGAGCACAGGCCCUAGCAAGCUGGAGGGCAUCAUUACAACAGCCAAGCCGCUUGACUUUGAGAAGAACAACAAGUACACUCUGCUGGUCACUGUGCAGAAUGAAGUCCCAUUCACAAUCAGCAUGCCCACCUCCACUGCUACUGUUGUAGUGAAUGUGGAGGAUGUGAAUGAAGCUCCAGUCUUCACCCCAGUGGAGAAGAUUAUCAGGAAACCUGAGGACCUCCCUGUUGACAGUGACCUGGUUCUGUACACAGCCACAGACCCAGACACUGCAAGGAAUCAGAAAGUCACAUACAAGAUACGCAAUGAUAAUGCUGGAUGGCUCAGUAUCAACAAAGACACUGGGCUGAUCAAAGUCAAGAGCCUCAUGGACAGAGAAUCCACUUUUGUCCAAGACAACAAAUACUCUGUUAUUGUUCUGGGCAUCGACAACGAUGAAAUUCCAGCAACUGGCACUGGCACCCUUAUCAUAGAGCUGGAGGAUGUGAAUGAUAAUGCUCCAACCAUUGACGAGAGUGUGAUCAGGGUCUGCAACAAGGAGUCCUCCCCACAGCUGCUGUCAGUCACUGAUAAAGACGGUGCGGGCUUCGCUGCUCCGUUCACCGUACAGCUUCAGGGGUCGUCCGAUUCUAGCUGGACUGCCAGAAUGAACGACACAAAGACUGGUAUUAUCCUGACUCUGAAGACUAUGUUGGACAGUGGAGAUUACACGGUUGUCCUGAGAGUGUCUGACAACCAGGGCCUGCACCAUGACAGCACCAUCCAGGCCUCCGUCUGUGACUGCAAAGGAGCGGAUGUCCAGUGCACCGAUAAAGCUGUAGCAGGCUUCGGCAUCUAGCAUUCUGGGAAUUCUAGGAGCAGUCUUACUACUCCUAUUGUUGUCUCUUCUGCUGCUCAUGUUCCUGAGGAAGAGAGGUGGUGAGAAGGAGCCUCAGGAGGACGAUGUCAUCUACUACUAUGACGAGGUGGCGAGGAUGACCCGGUGAAAGGGACUCACCAGACUAGCUCAGAACAAGCCUAUUAGGUUCUCCCUAUAAAGACUAUCCGUAAGCAUGACAUUUAUUUUACUGAAAGCUAAAUCAGCCUUAGGAUUUUUUUGUUAACUGAGAUUAAUUAACAAGCUCAAUAAUUGCUUUAAAAAUGUUUGAUAAACAUCUAAGUUUGGGUCUUUUUUAUCAUAAUCAAAUAGUUUUUUCUUGCUUGCUUCUGAAGAGUGAAUUAUGUAUAUUUUUUAAUAAAGUAUAUCCCUUUAGUACAAUGA